GGGGUUGUGGCUCAGUGGUAGAGCACUCGCCCAGCACGUGCCACCCUGGGUUCAAUCCUCAGCACCACA
rnacentral:tRNA from 1 species